CGUGAUCUUUUGUAGGCUAUCGCGGGCGGGCUCUGCUAUCGCAUAUCAACGCCUAGUUGGAGCCAGCAGGCAGAUUGCCACAGCAAAGGAACUGCUAAAAGAGAGUACUUGGCCUCGGUUGAAUAAGUUGAUACUGACAUUUCGAAACAGCACCCAAUUCGUUACAACUUCAUUUAUGGGAGGCACAGGUUGUUGGACUGCAAAAUAAUUGGACUGCCAAGAGAGCCAUAGACUGAGGCUGAACCAGUAUCAGGAUGUAAGGUGUGGACUGUGAAUGCACCACUGCUAAAACUGCACUCCUUAAUAAAAGGACAUGAAUGUGGA